rnacentral:rRNA from 1 species
AUUAGGAAUCUUGCGCAAUGGGCGAAAGCCUGACGCAGCGACGCCGCGUGGAGGAGGACGGCCUUCGGGUUGUAAACUCCUUUUGACGAGGAAGAAAAACAUGACGGUACUCGUCGAAUAAGCCCCGGCUAACUCCGUGCCAGCAGCCGCGGUAAUACGGAGGGGGCGAGCGUUGUCCGAAGUUACUGGGCGUAAAGCGCGCGUAGGCGGGGAGCCAAGUCCGCUGUGAAAGCCCGAGGCUUAACCUCGGCGGGUCGGUGGAUACUGGCUGCUCUUGAAGGUGCUAGGGGGAGAUGGAAUUACCGGUGUAGCGGUGAAAUGCGUAGAUAUCGGUAGGAACACCAGUGGCGAAGGCGGUCUCCUGGGGCAUUCUUGACGCUGAGGCGCGAAAGCUGGGGGAGCGAACGG